rnacentral:rRNA from 1 species
AUUGAACGCUGGCGGCAGGCUUUACACAUGCAAGUCGAACGAGUGGCGGACGGGUGAGUAAUGCAUCGGAAUCUGGCUUAUGGCGGGGGAUAACGACGGGAAACUGUCGCUAAUACCGCGUACCAUAGGAUGAGCCCAAGUGGGAUUAGGUAGUUGGUGGGGUAAAGGCCUACCAAGCCGACGAUCUCUAGCUGGUCUGAGAGGAGGACCAGCCACACCGGGACUGAGACACGGCCCGGACUCCUACGGGAGGCAGCAGUGGGGAAUAUUGGGCAAUGGGGGCAACCUGACCCAGCCAUCCCGCGUGUAUGAAGAAGGCCUUCGGGUUGUAAAGUUCUUUCGGUGGAGAGGCGUUAACUACAGAAUAAGCACCGGCUAACUCCGUGCCAGCCGCCGCGGUAAUUC